AUUGAACGCUGGCGGAAUGCUUUACACAUGCAAGUCGAGCGGCAGCACGGGGGCAACCCUGGUGGCGAGCGGCGAACGGGUGAGUAAUACAUCGGAACAUGCCCAGUCGUGGGGGAUAACACUUCGAAAGAAGUGCUAAUACCGCAUACGUCCUGAGGGGGAAAGCGGGGGAUCGCAAGACCUCGCGCGAUUGGAGUGGCCGAUGUCAGAUUAGCUAGUUGGUGGGGUAAAGGCCUACCAAGGCAACGAUCUGUAGCUGGUCUGAGAGGAUGAUCAGCCACACUGGGACUGAGACACGGCCCAGACUCCUACGGGAGGCAGCAGUGGGGAAUUUUGGACAAUGGGGGCAACCCUGAUCCAGCCAUUCCGCGUGAGUGAAGAAGGCCUUCGGGUUGUAAAGCUCUUUCGGCAGGAACGAAACGGUGAGCUCUAACAUAGCUUGCUAAUGACGGUACCUGAAGAAGAAGCACGGCUAACUACGUG
rnacentral:rRNA from 1 species